GAGCACAACGUCGAAAGCAGCCGUUGGGAGCCCAGGAGGCGGGGCGCCUGUGGGAGCCGUGGAGGGAACUUUCCCAGUCCCCGAGGCGGAUCCGGUGUUGCAUCCUUGGAGCGAGCUGAGAGCUCGAGAUCUAAAGCUUAAGGACUAUGGAGUGGAUCUCAUUGAAGUUUCAGGCAAUGGAUGUGGGGUAGAAGAAGAAAACUUCGAAGGCUUAACUCUGAAACAUCACACAUCUAAGAUUCAAGAGUUUGCCGACCUACCUCAGGUUGAAACUUUUGGCUUUCGGGGGGAAGCUCUGAGCUCACUUUGUGCACUGAGUGAUGUCACCAUUUCUACCUGCCAUGUAUCGGCGAAGGUUGGGACUCGACUGGUGUUUGAUCACUAUGGGAAAAUCAUCCAGAAAACCCCCUACCCCCACCCCAGAGGGAUGACAGUCAGUGUGAAGCAGUUAUUUUCUACGCUACCUGUGCACCAUAAAGAAUUUCAAAGGAAUAUUAAGAAGGACUCCUAGAAGUACCCCACCCCACCCCUGCUCCUUGGAGGACAACGUGAUCACUGUAUUCAGCUCUGUCAAGAAUGGUCCAGGUUCUUCUAGAUGAUCUGCACAAAUGGCUCCUCUCCUCCUUCCUGAUGUCUGCCAUUAGCACUGGAAUAAAGUUCCUGCUGAAAAUCCACA
rnacentral:lncRNA from 1 species